CCGCUGGGCGCCGAGGAGCGGACCCUCCGCCGCGCGGGGAUGUUGCAGACCUCUGCUCUUGGAAGAGAAUCUGCUCCGAAACCCUCCUGGGGCUCGGGAGAAGAUCAGAUGGGCGCUUCCGUGCUGAAGUUCUUCGGAAACCAUGAAGCAAUCUGUCAGUGCAAAGGGUGAUGGAUCUUGGUGUUCUUCCUCUUCUCCAGGGUGGCUGUUUACCACCUGGUGCUGCCAGCCAAAAUUUUGAACAGACGUCCUAGUUUUGCUAUAACGAAAGUAACCCUCUUACGCUUAAAGUGGAGCUCUUCAGAAGAUGAAGAAUAUAUACUUACAUAAGAAUGAAGAAUUCAUCUACAUAGAAAAUAGACUAAUAUAAAUGUAAAAUAUCACCUUUAUUUUCUAUCUCUGUGAAAACGGGCCACUAUCCACAAAGCUGUUAUUUCUAAAUGGGAGACUAGCCAGGGAGUAACCCCUGAGUAUGGUGGAGUAGUUGCGCGCUUAAACAAUGCUGCUCAAAAUUUAACUUGGAUUUAUAUCACUUUUGGAUUUUUGUUUUAUUUUUUGGAUUUUGGAUUUUUGUUAACAUUGCAGAUUCCCAAUCCAUAAAUUUGGGGUGGGGAGAGGUUGUUGGAUUUUUAUUUUUCUAGUAAAUGGUCGGGCAAUGCCACAGUGCUGGUCUCUGAGCCGCAAGAUCCAGGGUCCUUUCUGAGCCGUCACCUCUCCGCGUGACCCAACGAGAGAAGGAGAAUGCUUACUGCCCAAUUUUGAAGACACAUAGCACCAUACCCCUGUAAAAGCAGAAAUAAAAUAAGCAAGUGAAACAAAAAAGAAACACGAAUCAAACGCAAUCAAAGUGUGCUGUUCUGGUGCACGGUUAGGAUGAAGCAGACGGACACAAUGGGGAACGUGCAGGGAAGUCUUGUCCAAUGAUUGUGGUUUCUGAAAAAUAAUAUACCCUGGUUUUCAACGCAUACUCUUACUUUACAAAAAAGGUCUUCCGAAAUUUAACCUAGAGAAGCACAUCAUUGGCUGGUAUCAUAGAGAUAACGUAUGACAGUCAAGAGAAAGAAAAAAAUAAAGCAUUACACUGCUUUCCUGAGUGUUUGUACCCCGACAUGAUUAGAAGCAUCUGAGGGGUAACAUGCAUUUACAGAGCCACUCUCCAAGCAUUUGAACUGUGAGGCAUUUAGAAGACCUUCUUAGUGUUCCCGCAGGCACACUGGCAGUAUAGACGUGAUUUAUAGAUAGCGGGAUAUGCCUGACCAAAGUAGACCUGACUUAGCCAAUCACUUACCAGUUCUCUUACACAUUUUUUUUUUUUGUUUCAGAAGCAAUGUUGUGUGUUCUAUAUUAUCCAAUGUGCAGAAAAUAUAAAUAAUCUUGCAAAUAGCCAAAUGAGAUCGUGUGUGCAGAUUUGCAUCCUGGUGGGCAUAGUCCUGUCUAGUAAUAGCUUUUCCUAACACUAUCCCCACUGCCAAACAGACUGCUUAUGCCUUCUUUGGCUUUCUUAAUGUCUCUUCGGGGAUCAAUAAAAUGUAUCUUUUUUCCUAGAUGCCAACUUCAUCUCAUUUGUACUUUAAGAAUAUCGUGUUAGUUUAAGAAUAUGUCAAGAAUACAGUAUCAGUUUAAAGGACUAUGCAAUUUAAAGCAACCUUGUGAAGAUUUAGUUACCAGUGCUUGAUAUCAGGCGAGUUAGGGAAAAAAAAUGUAGGGUGAUUCCAUCCUCUCCUUUUCAGAUCUUUGAAGGGGAAAAGGGCCUGGCUUCUAAAACUGCUCAGUUAAUUGGAAGAAAUCCUAUCCUACAUUGCUUUUCUGAUUUUCGUCUAUGCAAAUGGAAAAGUACAUAUAACAUCUACCUUCUUUAAGAACUUGUGUUCCUUUUUCUCUUGAAAUAAAAAUUAAGAGUUAGAAAUCAUUGAGUCAUCAUUUUCGGGUUUCACAAAAUAAAUCUGAUAUUUGUAUUAGCAACAAAGACAUAUAUCAAACAGGAAAGAAUUCACGAAAUCAGAUUUGAUGUUCAAACAGAGCUGUUAUGUUAACAUGUGUGUUUCCUUUUUUGUUGGCCCUAUUAGUCUGCUUUUAGUCUUAAUUACAUUAUUUUAUCUGCUAUUUUUGUCAUUUAAACAUAUAAAUAGGUUUGACUUCAAUUUUUUGCGCAGAGGUGAGUAUGUAGUAUAAAUGAAUAAUCCCAUAUCUAUUAGGAAAAUCCUAAUUUAGAUUAGGCAACUAUCUUUCCUUUGUGCAUCCAAGUGUUGAGUGAGCUGGAUUAUUUUUUAUAAGAAAAUAAGGUGAAUCUGAAGUAAAAGUAAAAGUGAAAAAUAUCAUUUUUCAUGGAAAUAAACUAAUAGUACUAAAGAAAGGAAGAACACAUAAGAACAUUUUCUUGAUAUGAGGUUUAUAAAUAGAAACCUAAUUAAUACAUGUCAUUGCUGUUCAUUCUUAACUGCCCACCACACCCUCCUGGACUUUAUUUCAGAUGACCUUGUACUUGCUUUGCAGCUCACACUAAAUGAUGUGCGUUGUUUUGUAUUUUUUUUUAUAUCAGUAAGCAAACUAUUAAAAAAUUAUUCAUAGUUGCAGGGAAAAAGGCAUUCCCACAGUAGAAAAAGAAAACAGUUUUAUUUCAACUUUGAGACGCUCCAGAGGGAAGCAGGAUAUAUGAAGUGACAUAUUGUUUGAAAGUUGCUUUAACUACCACUAAUCGAGAUGGUAAAUUGGCAUAACAGUUGGGCAAUGGCCGUUAAAAUAAAAAACAAAAAAAUACCCUCUUUAACUGUGUAAAACCAUUCAUACAGAGACAUUCAUUUUUAGAAAUUUAUGCUAAGGAAAUAUGGGGUAUAUUCACAAUUAAGUGUAAGAAUGUUCACUGUGAUAUGGCAUAUAUUGGGGGGAAAUUGGAAACACCCUAAUGUCCAGAGACUAAUUUAAUAAAUUAUAACAUAUUCAAUCUAUAAAAUUUUAUUCACCAUUACAAGGAAAUAAUGUAGAAAACAUUUAAUGAUGUGAAAAAUAGGAAACAUUAAAUGAAAAAAACUUAGAAAACAAUUUGUGUAAAAUGAUCACACACACAUACAUAUGGCAUAUUAUACAAUAAAAUGUUAAUGAAUCAAUUAUAGGUCAAUAAAACUAGGACUAUUAGGGAUAUUUUUCUAGGUGCUGGGAUUAUGGAUUAUCUUGGUGUAUCUAUAUUGUCUUGAU